GAAGAGAGUGAGGACAGAAACCGGAACUGUGAGGAAGGAACAGAAUAGAACUGAAACAGAGGGAAAAGAUCAAGUGAGAUACAUAGAGAAAUGAUGUAUAUGGAGAGAAGAAGGUUCUCGGCAUUUAUAGCGAUGGUGAUCAAUUGUGCAAGUGACAUACAAACAAAAUCAGAGAGGAUCAAGAUGGUGGUGGAUGCAGCGAAAGAGAUUUGGGGAAUAACGGAUGUGAAGGGGGAUGAAAUACGGAAUUUUGGCGAAAUUGGUGGUGGUGGCCACCUCUGGCUUGGAAGAACAGGAAAUUCCCCUGCUUUGCGCAACUUUGACCGUCGUAGAACGGGGGCUGGUUUAAUGCUAUUUUCUUCUCCCUCGUUAGUUUUCUGUUCAUCAUCUUCACUUGAUUCAUCCCGCCUUGUCCUGAAGUUUCUUCUGGGCUUUUUACCUAACAUGAUUAAAUUAAAAUCCGGGUGGCUAACGUUAGCCAAGUGAGCAGCAGCUGCCCAAAGCGCACAAGUACGAGGCGCCGUUGUGGGCAAAAGUCGGUCGGAAAAACCCGAGAGGAAACGAAACAUUUUACAGCGUGAAAACGGUGUCAGGGAUGGACAGCUGGAAGCUGGCGGAACAAGGCUAUCCCAAAGACCUCGGAGAUUAGGUUACUUUGAGGACUCACCUCGAUUUCCUCUUCCAGAGUGAGGUGUCGCUCCAAGCAGAACUCCACCAUCUCAUGGGUGACGGGGAACUUGGCUGGCAGCUUGGUGCACUUUCGGAUCAUCACAGGGUUGCAGCCGUUGAGAAACUGGUAUGCGAACACAAAGUCCUCCUUCCAGUGCUGCAUCACGUACUCUGCAGAGCAGAUGUGCCUCUGAGUAAGAAGCCGCCCUCUUGCUUUGCUCAAACACCAUGCCUAUGAGAUGAUCUCUGCAUCUUACAGUACAUAUCUAACAUGACCAUUUUAACCAAUACAUACUGUAUGAGGUGGCGAAGAACAAAAUGCAACUACAGAUCUGAAGCUUAGUCAAUGUAAGAGGGCAUUCAUUCCCUUUGAAGGACAUGAAGAGAACAGUCACGUUUGCUGAGAUUUCUUGAGUGAUCUGCAGAGUAGGUACAGUAUAUCUUCUUUAGGCCAUGAAAACAUUUUAACAUUUACACUUUAAACAUACGUGUAUGUACUUUCUCGUCACAGUUUUUCCAUGAUGCUUUCAUAAUAUGAAAGGCACAUAAAUGGAAGGCCCAAGCCAGGAAAGGUUUUAUGAAAUCAAUAAAAAUGUCCACUUUUCAGCACCAGAAUCCCAACCGUGGCCACAUAGUCUAGCCCCCCCUUUAUUUUCAUUCACCCUCCUGCUCUUCCAAUAAUAUACCACAACAUUUAGGGGGCUUUUACAUCAUUUUUUGUUUUUGACAGCAUUUGACGUGUUUGUGAAGCAUAAUCUGAUCAGGCAUAUGAUGUCAAACAAUGCUUCAGUCACAUCUUGGGGUGCUUGGGGAAAAGAGUAAAUUAUACCCAUCCAAAUGAACAAAGAAAUUAGAACGUGCUUUUUUGUCAUUGUAACUUUAUAAAUGGAUGUAUGUAUGUACAUUAUACGUGUGUGUGUGUGUGUGUGUGUGUGUGGGUGCGCGUGUGCGCGUUUGUGAAUCAUGAUCUUAUUACAUGUAUUCAAUCAACCACUCUUAGAAUGAGCAGGAAUUUGAAAUAAUUCUUAUGGGUGCACCAC